rnacentral:rRNA from 1 species
AAUCAACGCUGGCGGCGUGCCUAACACAUGCAAGUCGAACGAGAAAGGGUAGCAAUACCUGAGUAAAGUGGCGACCGGGUGAGUAACACGUGACUAACCUGCCCUUGAAUGGGGAAUAACCUCGGGAAACCGGGGCUAAUACCGCAUAACGUCCAGAGGCUGAGAUGCCAUUGGACCAAAGGAGGAAUUCGUUUAAGGAGGGGGUCGCGGUUGAUUAGCUAGUUGGUGGGGUAAUGGCCCACCAAGGCGAUGAUAAAUAGCCGGCCUGAGAGGGCGCACGGCCACACUUGAAGUGAAACACGGGCCAGACUCCUACGGGAGGCAGCAGUGGGGAAUUUUGCGCAAUGGGGGAAACCCUGACGCAGCAACGCCGCGUGAAGGAUGAAGGUCUUUGGAUUGUAAACUUCUUUCGUCCGGGAAGAUAAUGACGGUACCGGAAUAAGAAGCCCCGGCUAACUUCGUGCCAGCAGCCGCAGUAACAC